ACCGAGUGCAUGCCAUGAUACAGC
rnacentral:siRNA from 1 species